UAAACUCCUUAUUCUCUCCCCUUGGCUCAUGACCACUUGCUCUCCCCAUUCAGAUUUUCUCUUCUUUUCUCACCUAAAACUCACACAAAACACAGCCCUUGGUUCUCCCUCUCCAUUACGCCAAUUCCUCUCCAUUUUCUCUUCUUCUCUUGCAAUCUCCUCAUGGUUUGAAUGUGACUUGGCAAGCUUCAACCAUUGAGGGCUUUUCCUACCAACUAAAACCGUUUGACUUGGGCUUUGCUUCAAAUCAAGUCUUUCAUCGUUUUUGAGCUUUGGGUAACGAUUUUCGAGUAUUAGGACCCCCAAUCUACCGAUUAUUUUGAGUGGUUCAUCGCAAGAGGUUGUCUAAGAAUCUAUAGUUGAGCUUGUUAUUCGCACAACCAAGGGACUCCUGAGGUAGACGAUGACCCCGUAGCUUUAUAUUUGGGAUAUUACAAUUAGAGCUCGAUGCGACAAUUGUAAUGUAAUGGACUGCGCGUUGUCCAUUCUUUUGGGUAUUUUGUAUAUGGCUCGUGACAUACAUGUCACUUAAUCUUUUGUCUAGCCAUUCUUUUGUAUUAGUUGUAAUGAUGUUAAGCCUUAAACAGAUAGACAUGUGUAUGGCUCUUUUGUGUAAACAACAGGUUUAUUUUUAGCUAUGCCUUUUCGCUAAGUUAAUGAUUUGUAUUAUUAUGUUUUCCGCUGCA